GAUGAAGAACGUAGCGAAAUGCGAUAAGUAAUGUGAAUUGCAGAAUUCAGUGAAUCAUCGAAUCUUUGAACGCACAUUGCGCCCCCUGGUAUUCCGGGGGGCAUGCCUGUCCGAGCGUCAUUACAACCCUCAAGCUCAGCUUGGUGUUGGGCCCCGCCGCCCCGGCGGGCCCUAAAGUCAGUGGCGGUGCCGUCCGGCUCCGAGCGUAGUAAUUCUUCUCGCUCUGGAGGUCCGGUCGUGUGCUCGCCAGCAACCCCCAAUUUUUUAAGGUUGACCUCGGAUCAGGUAGGGAUACCCGCUGAACUUAAGCAUAUCAAUAAGCGGAGGA
rnacentral:misc_RNA from 1 species